rnacentral:lncRNA from 1 species
GAUGACCAAACAAAGUCAGACAAGGCAGAAGAUGUAGAAUUAAUAUUCUGUGAUGAACAUCAGUCUAAUUGUUGAUGAAAUAUAGUCGCUCAUGGAAUAUUAUAUCUGCUGGGUUCAAACUAUAAGUGUGUUGAUGACUCAAGCUUUCUCGAUUGAUUCUCAGGACUGUAGUGCCCAUCUUACUAGGAGACUCUCUUCCUUGCUGACUUGGAGGAAGCAAGUAGUCAUAUGGGGAAGAUCCAGAUGGCAAGGAACCAAAGGCAACCUCCUGCCAACAGCCAUUGAUAAGGUGAGGUUGUUAGUCCAGUAGCCACAAGGAACUGAGUGCUACCAAGAAUAAUGUUGAUUGGAAGCAAAUCCAUCCUGUGUCAAUCUUCAGAUGAGACGGCAACUCUAAAUGACACCUAACUGGAGCCUUGUAAGACCCAGAAGCAAAAGACACAGCUCAGUCAUGCCUAGGCUCCUAACUCACAGAAACUGUGAUGUAAUAAAUGUGUGUUGCUUUUAGCCACUGUAUUUUUGUUCAUAUUGUUCCAUAAUAAUAGAUAACUGAUACAAUAUUCAGAAGUAGACAUUUUAUUUUGAGUUGCUCCUGAAGCAGGACUGACUUGUUAAGUUGCCAGGAAUGCUCAUUUUUUAUCAUGUAAACGUCAGUAAAAAACCACCAAUGCCUUGUUCUUUCCAUGGGUUUAAAUCUAAACUACACAACAACUUAACCUACAACCUAAGGUUUCCCACUAACCAGGCAAACUCGCCGUUUAUGUACUCAGUCUCAUCUCUUUAUUUUUCUUCUACUCAACUCUUUGGCCAAGCCACUUUAUCUACAUUUCCUUACAAUUUCUUUUGCGAAUGAAAGUAAAUCAGAAGCAUUUGUUGUUUUUGUCAUUUCCAAUACCCUACUACUCAUAUUAAUGCUAUGUGUUUAAGAUUUCUAGAUUUGUUGACUGUAUACAUAUGGAAUGGGAUACAGGAAUAAAAGUUUCGAGAUUCUGUUAUGAAUGUGUGAGUAACGUAAAAACUGUGACCUUUCCUCUAAUUUCAUUUCAUCAUUUUUAAAAUAAGUAAUAACAUUAACUGUUUUUAAACGUGCAGCAAUUAUACUAGGAUGUAAGAUUUUAAGUUCACUAUGCAAUUUUUCCAUAGAGCAGUACUUAUGUGUAGAUGAUAAUUCAUGUACAAGUCCAAUAUUACUU